rnacentral:lncRNA from 1 species
GGGGAAGAGCCGGCGAAGAGCAAAGAGAUAACACAGUACUCCCAGCUAUAGCAAGCGGCAGUUAUGGAGCAUGCGCAGCAGCAGGGGCGGCCGCAGGUCGCCGUUCAAUAAUACUCAAGGGAUUUGUACAGCCCUGUAGGAGACACCUCCAGAGAAAGUAACAGCUCUCAAUUGAUUAGCUGAGGAGACCGAUUUUGUAAAUCACUACUUUUCUAACAACACUGGCACAGAUGGCCAAGCAUUCUCCCUUUUCUCAGAGCUGGUUUUCCAUCCCGGAAAGAGAAUAAACAGAUGCUUUUACAGCUCGCAUUGGCGGGAAGUUCUGGCACAAAUGAAGUAUCUAUAAGGAGCAGCAGAGUCAAGGUGGUGAUCCUGUGGAUGAA